rnacentral:rRNA from 1 species
CCUACGGGUGGCUGCAGUUAGGAAUAUUCGUCAAUGGGGGAAACCCUGAACGAGCAAUGCCGCGGGAGUGAUGACGGUCCUUUGGAUUGUAAAACUCUGUUGUUAGGGAAGAAAUAAUUGUAUAGGAAAUGAUACAAUUUUGACGGUACCUUUCAAGAAAGCUCCGGCUAACUACGUGCCAGCAGCCGCGGUAAUACGUAGGGAGCGAGCGUUAUCCGGAUUUAUUGGGUGUAAAGCGUGUGUAGGCGGUUUUAUAAGUCUAGGGUCUAAGCCCGGAGCUCAACUCCGGUUCGCCUUGGAAACUGUAAGACUUGAGUUUGGUAGAGGUAAAUGGAAUUUCUAGUGUAGCGGUGAAAUGCGUAGAUAUUAGAAGGAACACCAGUGGCGAAGGCGAUUUACUGGGCCAACACUGACGCUGAGACACGAAAGCGUGGGUAGCAAAUAGGAUUAGAUACCCGAGUAGUC